rnacentral:tRNA from 2 species
GCUUCCUUGGCUCAGCUGGUUAGAGCGCCGGUCUCAUAUCGCUAUGAGUGAUCAUGUUGAUCAUCCAAUCCGGAGAUCGCCAGUUCGAUCCUGGCAGGGAGCA